UGGUGGCCUCCAUUGCACUUAGGAGGGGUGCCUGCUUAUGGUCUCCCCAAGUGGGAGAGCCAACGUCAUAAUUUGUGCCAGUGGGGGCCUGCGUUCGCGCGGCCCUCUCCAAUUUAGUCCAAUCUUUUAUUGAUUUUGAUAUGAUGAUUUGGAGAAGAGAUGAGUAGAAGAAGAUAGUUGCUGCAAUAGACUUUUUCUCUUGAUCAUGGUGAGAAGAAAAUGUGGCUGCUGCAAAUCGUGAUAGAGGAGAUGAGAAAGAAAAGGGGAAAGAGAAGAGAUAGUCCUAAUUUGUG